UACGGGGGGAGCAAGCGUUGUUCGGAUUUACUGGGCGUAAAGGGCGCGUAGGCGGUCUUGUAAGUCUUGUGUGAAAUCCCUCGGCUCAACUGAGGAACUGCACGGGAUACUGCGAGACUUGAGUUCGGGAGAGGGAAGCGGAAUUCCGGGUGUAGCGGUGAAAUGCGUAGAUAUCCGGAGGAACACCGGUGGCGAAGGCGGCUUCCUGGACCGAUCACUGACGCUGAGGCGCGAAAGCUAGGGGAGCAAACGGG
rnacentral:rRNA from 1 species